UAUGUGGCUCCCAGGUCCUCCAUCUGAAAUCAGGUCUAAGCAGAUCUUUUUUCCACUGUGAAUUAGAGCCAGUUGUUUAAGGGAUGGCUUAGAUGUGUGCCAGGAAAGUAGGAUUUUAAUCCACACUAACACACUCACUGCAGUCCUUUGGAGAGCUCAAAGCACUUUAUAACAGAGACAGUGAAGUCUCUGGAAGGCCCUGCUUCAAGGAUAGAGGAAAAGAUUGCCACAAACAGCUUGCAGAAGGUCUCGGGAAGCCAUAAAAAGAGAAAGGAGAGAUUUUCCCGAUUUUCACGGUGAGAAAUAAGAAAUGAUGAGGGGAAGAGGGCAGCCCGCAGAGCAGACUCAAGGAGGGAAAGCGCAUCUGUCGCCGAUGCUGGUCAAGGAGUCUGGAAACCAUGAAGUAAUGCAUGCAAGGCGAGUGGACAGCGAGAACAGGAAGGGGGCUGGACACAGAGUUUCAAUUCCCAUCAGAGAGUUUCACUUGAUCCCUGCAUCCAGCGAUUCCUCACAUCCACACCUACCCUACGUCACUCAAUGAAGACACGAUGGUCAAGUUAAAAAGUCCCAUGCCAUAAAAGCAGACAUGUAGAGGGUGCAUGGGGGCAGGAAAGAUGGUGGAAUGAGAU